rnacentral:rRNA from 1 species
AACGAGGUGCUUUUGUAGCAAUACGAGAGUAUCCUAGUGGCGAACGGGUGAGUAACGCGUUGGUGACCUACCCCAAAGUGUGGGAUAACAGUCCGAAAGGAUUGCUAAUACCGCAUGUGGUCAUUGGAUUUAGAAACCGAUGACUAAAGGAGCAAUUCGCUUUGGGAGGGACCUGCGUCCCAUCAGCUAGUUGGUGAGGUAACGGCUCACCAAGGCGACGACGGGUAGGGGACCUGAGAGGGUGACCCCCCACAAUGGAACUGAAACACGGUCCAUACACCUACGGGUGGCAGCAGUAGGGAAUAUUGCACAAUGGGCGAAAGCCUGAUGCAGCAACGCCGCGUGUGUGAUGAAGGCCUUCGGGUCGUAAAGCACUUUUCUGGGAGAUGAGAAAGGACAGUAUCUCAGGAAUAAGUCUCGGCUAACUACGUGCCAGCAGCCGCGGUAAUACGUAGGCAGCGAGCGUUGUUCGGAGUUACUGGGCGUAAAGGGUGUGUAGGCGGUUUUCUAAGUUUGGUGUGAAAUCU